CCCUGAGCCAUUGUAAUACAUAAGAAGCAAUAGUAAAGCACACCCAAUUGCUUGGCUGAAUAGCUAGACCGAAGACAUAGAUAAAUAUACCGUACUAGCGUGUGUCACAGCGCGUUCUUGGACUAAAUGCUACGUUUAUGGUUAGUUUUAUGUUAGAAUUUAAGCUGUAGGCUUUGCCCGUUGCCCUCAGUAAAAAUGGCGGGUGGGCGGUGUCAGCGAGCGUGACGUCAGUGGCUGUGUUAAAC